rnacentral:rRNA from 1 species
CCUACGGGUGGCAGCAGUGAGGAAUAUUGGUCAAUGGACGAGAGUCUGAACCAGCCAAGUAGCGUGCGGGAUGACUGCCCUAUGGGUUGUAAACUUCUUUUAUAUGGGAAUAAAAUCUUCCACGUGUGGGAUUUUGUAUGUACCGUAUGAAUAAGGAUCGGCUAAUUCCGUGCCAGCAGCCGCGGUAAUACGGAGGAUCCGAGCGUUAUCCGGAUUUAUUGGGUUUAAAGGGAGCGUAGGUGGAUUGUUAAGUCAGAUGUUAAAGUUUGCGGCUCAACCGUAAAAUGGCAGUUGAAACUGGCAGUCUUGAGUACAGUAGAGGUAGGCGGAAUUCGUGGUGUAGCGGUGAUAUGCUUAGAUAUCACGAAGAACGCCGAUUGCGAAGGCAGUUCACCGGACUGCAACUGACACUGAGGCUCGAAAGUGUGGGUAUCAAACAGGAUUAGAUACCCCGGUAGUC